CAAAAAGACCGUCCCAGUUCGGAUUGCAGGCUGCAACCCGCCCUGCAUGAAGCUGGAAUCGCUAGUAAUCGCAGGUCAGCAUACUGCGGUGAAUACGUUCCCGGGUCUUGUACACACCGCCCGUCACACCAUGGGAGCCGGAAAUGCCCGAAGCCAGUGACCCAACCUUAGGGAGGGAGCUGUCGAAGGUGGAGCCGGUAACUGGGGUGAAGUCGUAACAAGGUAAC
rnacentral:rRNA from 1 species